rnacentral:rRNA from 1 species
AUUGAACGCUGGCGGCAGGCCUAACACAUGCAAUUCGAGCGGAGCGGCGGACGGGUGAGUAAUGCCUAGGAAUCUGCCUGGUAGUGGGGGAUCACGUCCGGAAACGGGCGCUAAUACCGCAUACUAUCAGAUGAGCCUAGGUCGUAUUAGAUAGUUGGUGGGGUAAAGGCCUACCAAGGCGACGAUCCGUAACUGGUCUGGGAGGAUGAUCAGUCACACUGGAACUGAGACACGGUCCAGACUCCGACGGGAGGCAGCAGUGGGGAAUAUUGCACAAUGGGCGCAAGCCUGAUGCAGCCAUGCCGCGUGUAUGAAGCAGGCCUUAGGGUUGUAAAGUACUUUCAGCGGGGAGGCGUUACCCGCAGAAGAAGCACCGGCUAACUCCGUGCCAGCCGCCGCGGUAAUAC